AUGUACAAUAUGUUAGCUAGACAAAAGGGCCUACUAAAUGCAGUGAAUGUUGUCUUUCCUAAGUGCAACCAAAGGUUCUGCCUUAGGCAUAUCUAUGCAAACUUCCAAAAUGCUGGGUUUAGGGGGGAAGAUUUGAAAAAGUAUAUGGAUAAUGUUGCCUAUGCAUAUAGUGAACACAAAUUUAACAUUGCAAUGAAUGACCUUAGAGCUGAAUGUGAGCAAGCUUGGGAGUGGCUUUGUCAAAUACCCAAGAAAACAUGGGCAAGGCAUGCAUUUGACAUAAACAGCAAGACUGACCUUGUAGUUAACAAUUUGUCUGAGGUGUUCAACAAGUAUGUCCUAGAUGUUAGGAAGAAACCAAUUAGGACAAUGUGUGAUGGAAUAAAGGAUAAGCAGAUGAUGAGAUGGCAUAGGAAUAGGGAGAGUGGAAAGAAUGCUAGAUGGGACAUAACACCCCAUUAUAGUGAGAAGCUAGAGGUUGAGAAGGAGAGGGCCAAAUAUUGCAAACCAAUUCAAGCUGGUGUGGACUUGUGCCAAGUUACAAGUGGGCAGCAAACCCAUGAUGUUAACUUGCAAUUGCACACAUGUGGGUGCAGAAAACGGGACCUCACUGGCAUCCCAUGUAACCAUGCCAUCUCAGCAAUAAACAAGGGCAAAAGAAAACCAGAGGAUUAUGUAAGCAAGUUCUUCAAGAAAGCAUUUUAUGUGGCAGCUUAUGAACCAAUGAUCUAUCCAGUUCCUGGUGAGCAUGACUGGACAAGGACCCCUGGUCCAGACAUUGACCCGCCUGCAUUUAAAGUGAAGAGAGCAAGAAAGAAAGAGAAGAGGAUCAAGGGGAAAUUUGAAGUUCCAAAGCCUAAGGACACAUCAAGAAUGGGGACUAUAACAUGUGGCAAUUGUGGACUGCAAGGACAUAGGUACACAAGCUGCAUGAAGCAGUUGAAGCCUGAGCUGGCUUUGAGGAAGAACAAACAUGUGCCUCUUGCAAGGAAUUCCAAUGUUGGUGCUGCUGCUACUACACUAGCAGCAAGAACUUCUCAUACAACCCCUACAACAACACCAAUAGCUGGAACAGGAGGUGCUGGGAGAGGAGUUGGGAGAGGUGCUGCUGGGAGAGGUGCUGGUAGAGGUGUUGCACCAGGUGCUGGGAGAGGUGCUGGGAGAGGGAGAGGUACAUUCUCUGCCCCAAGGCAAUCUGGUCCCUCCACAUCUACUACUCCCUCCACAUCUACUACUGGGAGAGGUGCUGGUGGUAGACAUAGUGGAUGGAGGAGCUACUUCUAUGCAAGUGGUAACUAG
rnacentral:rRNA from 1 species